rnacentral:rRNA from 1 species
CCUUUUGGCGAACGAUUUAUCGGAGAUGGAUGACCCCGCGUUGGAUUAGCUAGUUGGUGGGGUAAUGGCCUACCAAGGCGACGAUCCAUAGCUGGUCUGACAGGAUGAUCAGCCACACUGGGACUGAGACACCGCCCACACUCCUACGGGAGGCAGCAGUGGGGAAUAUUGGACAAUGGGCGCAAGCCUGAUCCAGCCAUGCCGCGUGAGUGAUGAAGGCCCUAGGGUUGUAAAGCUCUUUCAACGGUGAAAAUAAUGACGGUAACCGUAAAAGAAGCCCCGGCUAACUUCGUGCCACCACCCGCGGUAAUACAAAGGGGGCUAGCGUUGUUCGAAAUUACUGGGCGUAAACCGCACGUAGGCGGAUUGUUAAUUUAGGGGUGAAAUCCCAGGGUUCAACCCUGGAACUGCCUUUAAUACUGGCAAUCUCAAGUCCAACAGAGGUGAGUGGAAUUCCGAGUGUACAGGUGAAAUUCUUAGAUUUUCGGAGGAACACCAGUGGCCAAGGCGGCUCACUGUCUCGGUACUGACGCUGAGGUGCGAAAGCGUGGGGAGCACACAUGAUUAGAUACGUUGAUGGUGGACGCCGUAAACUAUCUAAGCUCUUCGUCCGCAAGUUUAUUUGGCAGUGGAGCAUCUAACGCAUUAAGUUAUCCGCCUGGG